UACGAAGGGGGCUAGCGUUGUUCGGAAUUACUGGGCGUAAAGGGCGCGUAGGCGGCUCGACGAGUCGGGUGUGAAAGGCCUGGGCUUAACCCGGGAAAUGCGCACGAUACUGUCGAGCUCGAGUGUGGGAGAGGAUGGCGGAAUUCCCAGUGUAGAGGUGAAAUUCGUAGAUAUUGGGAAGAACACCAGUGGCGAAGGCGGCCAUCUGGACCACAACUGACGCUUAGGCGCGAAAGCGUGGGGAGCAAACAGG
rnacentral:rRNA from 1 species